AGCGUUAAUCGGAAUUACUGGGCGUAAAGCGCGCGUAGGCGGCUUUGCAAGUCGGGUGUGAAAUCCCCAGGCUUAACCUGGGAACUGCAUUCGAGACUGCAUUGCUAGAGUAUGGGAGAGGGAAGUGGAAUUUCCGGUGUAGCGGUGAAAUGCGUAGAUAUCGGAAGGAACAUCAGGGGCGAAAGCGACUUCCUGGACCAAUACUGACGCUCAUGUGCGAAAGCGUGGGGAGCAAACAGG
rnacentral:rRNA from 1 species